rnacentral:misc_RNA from 1 species
GGGUGAAGUAACUCGACUGAAAGGUUUUUUCCUCUCACUUCGUUCGAGCUGGAGUUGGUAGCCUCUAUAGUAUGCUUUAUGCGCUUAGCUCGGGCUGGGUUCAACCAGUCUGCCUCUUCCCUUUCUCUCUAUGCCCAUUGAUAUUUAUCAAAAAGUGGCUUAACGGGGCCAUAGUACAUUGACAUGAAAGACCUUUUGGACAGGCUAAAAAGUAGUCUAUAUCGCUUACAGGAUCAGA